rnacentral:rRNA from 1 species
UACGUAGGGUGCGAGCGUUAUUCGGAUUUAUUGGGCGUAAAGCGCAUGUAGGCGGUUUGGUAAGUCUGGUGUGAAAGCCCUCGACUUAAUCGAGGAAGUGCACUGGAUACUGUCGAACUAGAGUGCAGGAGGGGUGAGCGGAAUUCCUGGUGUAGAGGUGAAAUUCGUAGAUAUCAGGAGGAACAACAGCGGCGAAGGCGGCUCACUGGACUGUUACUGACGCUCAGAUGCGAUAGUGUGGGGAG